rnacentral:lncRNA from 1 species
CUUCCUCCUCCUUGCUGGACUAAUACUGCUCAUAGGCAUGGCGUUAAAGUAAGUAAGCUCAAUACUUUUUGAUUUUUUAACAUCAAAAGUUUCGAUUUUUGUUGAGAUAUCUCUGAGUUUGCUGAUUAGGAUGAUAACAUUAGAGAGUUUGAUUGUUUGUGUACAGAGAGAUGAAUAUUGCUGAGGAUUUUAUUGGUAAAAGUGUUUACUUUCUUGUGUGUUAUGGAAUCUUAAAGGUAUUGGGGACUUUCAUCACAGAAUGGGAUGAAGGUAAAGCUACCUGCAAAGAGAUGCUUGCCACAAAAGAGUCUGCUCAGAUGUAUGCAGAGCGUUUGGCAGAACUUGCUACUGCUCUUGGCUUUGAUGGGUGGCUGGUGAGCAUUUUUGUUUGAUUUUUAUGUUCUACUCAAGCAUUUAUAAUGUAAAAUAUCUGCAUUUGUAACACACUGGUGAAGUGGUGUGAAGAAAGGUUUCCUUUAACAUAUAAGAUUGUUACUUGCAGAUUAAUAUAGAGAAUGAUAUAGAUGAGGAGCAGAUUCCAAAUUUGAAGGAAUUUGUAAGCCAUCUAAAAAAAGUCUUGCAAAAAAAGUCUUGCAUUUAUCUACACCUGGGGCGUUGGUUAUAUGGUGAGUUGCUCAGAAGUUUUUCCUUUGUUCUUUUUGUAAUCCACUUUGAUCUGAUAACUUUCUGCAGGUAUGACAGUGUCACUAUUCAUGGUAAUCUUCAAUGGCAAGAUCAAUUGACUGAGCUGAACAAACCUUUCUUUGACUUAUGCGAUGGAAUAUUCAUGAACUAUACAUGGAAGGUCUGUCUAUGGGUUUGAUCAGUUUUUCGAGUCUCAGUUUCUUCUAUAUGUAUUGUUUUUGAUAUUAGUGAGUGAUGAUGUUUCAGGAGAGCUACCCAAAACUAUCAGCUGAAGUUGCCGGGGACAGAAAGUUCGACAUCUACAUGGGAAUUGAUGUCUUUGGCCGGGGCUCUUUUGGUGGUGGGCAAUGGACUGUAUGUCUCGGACACUCUUUAAUAUUUUCUUCUCUGUGUAGAAUACAAAAUAAUGAUCUGUACUUAAUUAUUUCUUUUGGUCCUGUUCUUUUACAUGCUAGGUAAAUGCUGCUCUUGAUUUGCUGAAGAGAAGCAAUGUGUCAGCUGCCAUGUUUGCUCCUGGAUGGGUUUAUGAGACUGCACAACCCCCCAAUUUUCAUACAGCUCAGAAUAAGUAAUACUUUAAAUAUUUUGCAAUUUCCUGGUCAUCUUUGAAGUUUGAACUAGCAUUACUGUGACUAUGAGCUUAAAUUUUAUUCUACUAUUGCUGUAAAGGAGACGCUGGAUCUUAUUAGUAUGCAUGUGUUUUCUCUACAGAUGGUGGUCAAUUGUCGAGAAGUCAUGGGGAAUAGUCCAAACUUAUCCACAAGUCUUGCCUUUUUACUCGGAUUUCAAUCAGGUAAGGUGAAAUUGAUCAAGUCUUGGUUCUUAUUUUGUAACACUAACACCAUGGUAAUUCAUGCAUUGAUUUUCUUGGUUAUGAUUAUGUUCAGAUAUGUUCUGAAACUCUCUUCUCUCUUUUUUGUUCAGGGCUUUGGUUACCAUGUUUCACUCGAAGGUCGCCAACUGUCAGAUGCUCCAUGGUACAACAUAUCUUACCAAAGUCUUCAGGUUCAACCAUCUUACUGUCUUUGAUUUUACACAUAUCUAAUGUUUACAUGAACCAAAAACUUUUCCUGCCACAAUAUGACAAUUGUUCUUCUUGAUCUGCGUUUGUCUCUCCUCUCAUCUGAUCUCCGUGUUUGUUGUGUUUUUCACAUCAGCCUCUCUUAGAAUUCAAUGAAGAAGACAACAAAGAUAUCAUCCACGUCACUGUUGAGUGAGUUCUGGCCCUAAUACUAUCCCCAUAUUUAUUUCGGCAAGAGCAAAAAGGGAAAAAUGUUUUUGACAAUUCUGAGCAAACAUUUAAACAAUUACUAUGAAUUUGAUAGUGCUCGAGAGGCAUCUUUUAACGGAGGAGGGAACAUCGCUUUUAGAGGAAAACUCAAGGGAGAUGCGUAUUUCACAACAAGGCUCUUCAAACCCCAUCUUCAGCUUUCAUCUUCCCCCAUCACAAUCUCCUACUCUGUAAGUCUCUGCUUCUAGAUACAUCACAUUAUGAGAUCUUGUUGUUUUUACUCAUGGAGGAUUUUGGAGCUGGUGCAGGUGAAAUCAGAUGAAACCUCUAAACUUGGAAUCCUGCUUUCUUUCUCAUCUCCGUCACAGGAGACGAAAUCCAUUCUCGUUGCUCCACAAGAUUCCAUCCGUAGAUUCAACGGCAUGUUCUCACAGUGUCUCGCCACAUCAGCGCAGACUGUAUCCGAGUGGACGGUACACGAGACAAGCCUUGUCAUGGAUGGUCACACACUGACUGAAAUCUCUGCCUUUUGCUACAGACCAGAUAAUUCGACAAAGAGUGCAGAAUAUGUUGCAUUGCUGGGACACAUCUCAAUCAAAGAUCAUGUUCAGUCCCAGCAUAAACCCGAGACUUUACUUCCAGCAUCACCGUGGGUCAUCGAAGCUCAUAACAUAGAGCUUGUACAGGGUAAUUCUGGUUCUAAGAGCCUCAGGGUUAAGCUAGAAUGGAGACAGAAAGACCUUGAAGAUUCUGCAUUCCCAAAGUACAAUGUGUAUGCAGAGAAUGUGAAGUCGACUGAUCUAAGAUCGAGGAAGGUGCUAGAGAAACCGAUAAGUGAGACAGUGUUCCUUGGAGUCGCUCACGUACCAGCCUAUUACGUAGGGGAACUGGUGGUAGAAUCAGACGUGAAAGGAGUCCGCUUCGUAGUUCAAGCCUGUGGCAAAGAUGGUUCAUGGGCCAAUUUGGAUGAUUCCCCUAAGCUUCUAGUUGAACUGGAAGGUCUCUCGUUUCAAGAUUCGUCGUAGGUUGUUGCUUUGCUUCACGCCAAAAUCUAAAAACUGUGAAACAAUAAAUAUUGAAAAAUCCUGACCCGAAAAAUAUUGUAAAAUCAAGUACAUCUAUUUUUUUUUUUUUUUUUUCAUUGGAAGAUUUUAUAUUAUACGAAAAGUGUUACAACGUCGAAUACAAAGCCGGAUAAACCGGAAACAAAGCCCAAGAGUGAUAUGGGAAACCAAAGCCCGAGAGUGAUACGGGAAGCUAAAGCCCUAGAGUUUUAAGGGAAACUAAGCCGGCAUGAACUACUCAUCCGGAGCCAUGAGAUUACAUACAAAACCUUAAACAAACCUUAAAACACUACCACCAAAAGAAGGAACAUGAAGGCCCACACUCGCAAUCACCAGAAAGUGCGGAAAGAGCGGUAGACGCGGAGCUACAAAGCUCACAAGCAGCCGCUGAGGCAAGGGGAAACCGCGAAGAAAAGAACCAAAUACGACGAUUAACAAGACCAAAGAACCACGAACGAGAAUCUCAAAUCCUAUCCACCAAAACUUCAACCAAAAGAGUCUUAAAUCUAGAACUUUGCAUCCCCACAAAAGGUUAGCCUUACAAGAACUGACCAAAAAAGACUAUAAGAAAACUGCUUAUUCAACUAAUCUAAAGGCAGUGGAAGGACGGUUUUUAAAGAUUCACCGAAAUAAAGGAUGCUAAACCCUAGCCAUACAAACGACUAAGCACACACAAACCAAUGACCCACGAGAGUAAUCCAAAACAGCGGUAGACCCAAAGUACUAAGGCCACCAUCAAGCAAACCGGGGAUAUACCAAACAAGCUUGACUUAGACCCAAAGUACUAAGGCCACCAUCAAACAAAAUCAAGUACAUCUAUAAAACUAACAAAAACUUGUCAAUAGUUUUAAAAGGAAAUGCAUCCGAAUUUUACAUUGUGAAUAAUAAAACCAUAAACCAAAUUUAUUCAUAUUUCUCAGCCAAUGCAGAUUUCUGAAUUAUAUCGAACCAAACAAUAAAAAAAAAUGCAUGAGUCACAGAUGACAGAUCAAUAUCAUCUUGCAACAUUUUGGUUUUUUUUUUUUUGUUGAUUAAUUUCCUACUAUUUAUAUAAACCAUCGUUUUCAAGGGUUUCCUUAUCAUCAUCUUACAUUGGAUAAAUUAUAAAUACAUGACGCCUUAUUUAGUCAAGGCUAUUCUAGAGACACCACACGUAUGCCACAAGCCUUUUCUCCUUUUUACACGUGUCUAACAAACAGACAACCACGUCAGCCCCAUCCCUAGCCCAUCGCCGUUUCAUAAACCUCUCUCCGUUCGCUUACUCCGUCCGACGUCUACAAAGAUUCUCAUCUUCGUUGAUUUCUCUCUCUAGAUCUUACAAAACAAUGUUGCUCAAGGCUUCUCCCGCUCUCUCUCUCUUGAGCUCCACCGGCGGUGGAAAUCUCUUUCCGCCGUCGAGAAAUUCGUCGAAUCUUCUGUUUUCUCCGAGUGGAUCUAGGUUUUCUGUUCAGGCGGCGAAAGGAACCAACACGAAGUCGUUAACCGGAGUUGUAUUCGAACCUUUUGAGGAGGUGAAGAAAGAACUGGAGCUCGUUCCCACUACCCCUUUUGUUUCUCUCGCUCGCCACAAGUUCUCUGACGAUUCAGAAUCUGCCAUCAACGAUCAGAUCAAGUAUGUUCUCUCGCUUAGUUUUUGCUUUAAUCUAUCUAUCUUUUUUUCGAAUCUCUUCUCUAAUAAUCAUCCCAAAUCGAAAAAUGUUGAAGGAAUCAGAAUCCUGUUUAUUCAGCCUUAAGAUUUCAUUGAUUGAAUAAUAUCUUCCCAAAUGAUCAUCCUUUUCUACUGAUUCAGCUUCGAUUCACUUAUCAUGGUGCUGCUGAUCUGAAUCGCAAUUGUUCAUAUCUUGCUUUUAAUGAUUUUGUUCGUGGGAAUCGAGUUAGCUAGGUUGGUACGUGACCAUGUGUAUGAAUCUUAACGUCUCUUAUUUGCUUUUUGUGAAUCUUAGUGUGGAGUACAAUGUCUCCUAUGUCUACCAUGCCCUGUAUGCUUACUUUGACAGAGACAAUGUCGGCUUGAAAGGUUUCGCCAAGUGAGUUUCUUCUUUAGUCUAAUGAAAAACCGUAGUUUUGUCUUUUCAGCUGGUGGAUCAUCUUUUUGUUAUUGUUGUGGGUUUAACUCUGAUAGGUUCUUUAACGAUUCGAGUCUUGAAGAACGAGGUCAUGCUGAGAAGUUUAUGGAGUAUCAGGUAUCAUUUCAAAAAUCUACCAGGUUAUGGACCUUUCAUAGUGUUUCUUAUGUUUGAUGGAUUUGAUUUUCAGAACAUGCGCGGUGGGAGAGUGAAGCUGCAGUCUAUUUUGAUGCCCGUCUCUGAGUUUGAUCACGAGGAGAAGGGAGAUGCAUUGCAUGGUAAGUUUCAUCAAGCUUUGUUGUAGCAGCAGUUUGGUAAUCUUUGAGAGUAAUAUAGAUCUUAGUAAGCCUCAUAUAUUCUACCACUAUCAAAUUUUAUUAUCAAGCUCUUUGUGAUUUUGACUCUUCCCUGAAUCAGCGAUGGAGCUUGCACUGUCUUUGGAGAAACUUACUAAUGAAAAGCUUCUGAAGUUGCAAAGUGUAAGGACCUUAUCUUUUCAUCAGUUAUUUCAGUAUCACAGAGCACACUUUGACAGUUAAAACUUAAAAAAGAUGAUUAGAUUAAUCUCUCUCCCCUGUUUGAUCCUGCAGGUUGGUGUGAAGAACAAUGAUGUUCAGCUGGUUGAUUUUGUAGAAUCCGAGUUUCUCGGCGAGCAGGUAAAAACAAAAGUUUUCACAUUAUUAUUACUUCAAAAUACGUACCGAUCCUCAUGUACUUGGUAAAAACAGGUUGAAGCCAUCAAGAAAAUCUCAGAGUACGUUGCACAGCUAAGAAGAAUAGGAAAGGGUCAUGGUAAGUCCUUAAAAACCCCUCAAAGAUAAACCUCAAAACUGCAAUUGCACUUUCUUUUGGGUGUUUCAUUAAAUCGCCUUCCGGUGUGAAAACUGCAGGAGUGUGGCAUUUUGAUCAAAUGCUUCUCAAUGAGGUUUAAGGAAAAAGAGUUCAGCUUUUGAGUUAGCUCACAAUCUUCCUUGUGCUGUACGGCACCGUUCUAUCUUUAUAACGACGUCUCUAAGUUUGGUCGGAGAAAAGUUGUUUUGCUCGUUCUUUGUUUUCUUUGUUUUGGUCAACCGAAUGCUUGAGAGUUGUGAGUGGUAAUACUCAAUAAAUGUAACUUGUAGUCUGAUAAUAAAUGCAAGUCCCACUGCUUCAAUGCCAUAAAUAUGUUUUAUUUGACACAAAAGUUCGGAUUUAAUUAUCACAUCAUAAAUAUCCUGAUCCCGAAACUCCGAAAUUUUGGAAUGGAUCUCGUAGCAAAGUACGUGUCGUUUAUGACAUAUCGAAACGGCAUGGCGUUGGAAAAACUGUCUCUUGAAGAAACCACUAAAAGCAGAGCCAAAAUUGGAGAAUACCAAACGACUUCAAAACUUUAAGCUUUAUUCAAGGAAAAAAAAAAGCUCUUCUUCAAUGGAAAAUGUUCCAGCUUCCUCCCCGACCAAACCACACUUUUUCCAGCCUCUUCUUCCUGGAUUCCACAGCCACCUCGUACUCUCUUUGUCUCAUUCACUCUCUUUCUCUGAUAUGCAUGAAUCUGUUUAUUUCAUCUCUGAUCUCUCUCUCUCUCUCGAUUUCUUUAAUUUGUUGCAGAACAUUCCCAUGGCCUUCUUCUCAAGGUACAUAGAUGGAACAAAAAACGAGGGCAAUGCGGUGGUGAAGCUGAGAUCGAACGCUUCUGAUAUAAACUGGCAAGUGAAGAUGGACGGUCGAAGACUCACCCAAGGCUGGCAAAAGUUCGCCACCAGUCAUGAUCUUCAAGUCGGCGACAUAGUUGUUUUCAGACAUGAUGGAGAUUUAUUAUUCCAUGUCACAUGCUUGGGACCAAGCUGCUGUGAAAUUCAAUAUGAUAACGAUGAUGAUGUCAUUCAAAUAUCCUCUGGUACGAAUUACCUCUUUCUGUUACUGUUGAGUGAAUUAGUGAUAACCAGUAUUGGCCAUCGGCUUAAACUUGAGCUCAAUUUAGUUGUAAUUGGUCAAAUAAUCAAUUAUUCUCAACUCCAAGAUUCAGUUUCUCAUUGUUGCCCAAAAAAAAAAAAAAAAAGAGAGUCUAAAUUCUCAUUCAAAGCUGAAACAGAUUCAGAUUCAGAUUCGAAGAAGAAUGAGAACACAACAGAAGGAGGAACUUCAUCAGAUCACUCUUGUUUUAUAACUCGUGUCACCGAGUCAAAUCUAAGCAAAGAUAUGCUGGUAAAUAAUUUGCUACUGCAUUUACAAAUCUUGUGCUUAAAGAAGAGUUUUCAUAGUCUCUGUAAGCUUUUCAGUUUCUUCCUAGCGACUUCUCAAGGUCUAAUGGUCUUAAGAAACGUCAGUGUGAUAUCACUCUGUUGAAUGAAGAUGGAGAACCAUGGACAUUGUUCCUGACUUACCACAAAUCACGAUUCAAUCGGGUUUACAUAAGAAGUGGUUGGAGAAGUUUCUGCCUCGCAAAUGGGAAAAGAGCCAACAGUGUAUUGACUUUUAAACUUGUGCAAGCUGCUACAACACCUGUUCUCCAGUUAUGUUCUUCUUCACUUUCAACGAGCCAAAACAGAUUCUUGACACUAACUCUCACACCAUACAACCUCAAGAACGAUAAACUGGUAGGUAGGUUUUCAUCAAUUAUUUCAACAUUGUAGUCGAGAGUUUUUAAUGUUUUCAAGUCUUUGUGGCAGUGUCUACCGAUGACAUUUGUGAAAGCGAAUGGUAUCGAGAAUGAAGAGAAGAUAACUCUUGUGGAUAGGUAUGGUAUCAAAAGGACGACAAGUCUUAAACUUGAGGACGAAUAUGGAAGAAUGAGAUUGGGAAAAGAGUGGAGAGAGUUCUGUGAUGUUAAUGGAGUGAAUAUAGGUGAGUCCUUCAAGCUGAAACUCAUCAAGGAAAAAGAAGAUACAGCUACUCAUCUACUUAAGUUCUGCUCCAAAGUCUUUCCCUGAGUUUGUAUUGCUUCUGUAGUACCUACUUGAAAUGUAUUUUGUUUUGUGGUUUUUGGCUGGCUUGUAACAAGGCUUUCACGGUUUGAGAUGAACAACGGAAAGCAAAUACAUUUGUUUUUCCUUAAAAAUUUCAUUGGCAUUGUAAACAAUUUGUUCAUCUCAUCAAAAGCUUCUUUGGUGCUCUAAGUUGGUUCAAACAGAUCAUCACACUUGUCUGAUUCGAUAGAUGUCAACAUUUGAGCUGGCUGGUUCUUUUCAUGUUCCAUCCAGCUCGUCAUUAUCCUCAACUAUUGAGAAACUUCUAGCAAGAUGUGGCGUUGUCUCUGAUGCUAAUUUUCCCCUGUUUUUUUUUUUUUUUGAGUUUUUUGACCUCUUGAGGCUAACAAAAGCUACAGGCUCACCAAAACAUGUUGUUUAUGUCUUCCAUAGCUUCCUUUAAGUUGAUUGUUAGAUCUAAAAGGACAUGGUGACAUACAUUUUCAAGUUAUGGCCUCAUUAGAGAUGGUUAAACUGGAAUCUGGCCAGAUGAGGACUGUCUUUGUCUUGUUCUUCAGAGCUCCUAAGAGUAAUCGCUUCAUGAACACAAACAAAAGCUUUGUCAUCCAUUAUACCAGCCUAAUCAUUAUUUUCAUCUGUAGUCUUGCUUUCCUCUUGCCUCUGUUUCAUUUUGCAGAUCCUUAAUUACUUUUCUUAUCCAGUGUCAAAUAACAAAACCACUUAAAUCCAAAAUAUAUCUCGUUUGAUUACGUCCCUAAUAAAUAUAUGUGAUUAGCUCUAAUGUUUUGCUAUUCUUUUGUAUGUUGUCCCCUAUUAGUCAAUGACUCAAUUGGAGCCUGCAAAGUUCAUUUUCACUGAUUAUUUGCUACACGACAACGUUUUAAGAAGCAAGAGACCUCACUAAAACCCUCUACACGAUCUAGAAGGUUACAGAGACGGCUGUGGACUUUUUAUAGUCGUCAAAUUGCUUCCUCGAUUUGCCGAAAGCUCGAAAUCGUACUCUCAGUCGCUGCUAUCUCUCUGUCUCAUGGCGAAUCCGACGGAGAAUCUCGACGCGAAUCUACCAAUCCGAGAACCAGAAACUGAAGAAGAAGUUGAAGAACUUAACGGAGGCGAAGAAGAGGAGGAUUACGAAGGAGAAGACGAUGACACCGAGUCGAAAUCUCAAACGCGCGAAGGCGGAUCCGACAGAAUCAAGGCGGAAUCGCUAUUCCGUCGGAUGCGAGCUGCUCCUGUGCCGGUUCGUGUUCACGACGUGAUUGUCAGUGGAAACGAGAAGACUAAGGACCAUAUCAUUGAGGCGGAAGUGGAUGCUGUGAGAGAGGCGACCACGUUGCAGGAGCUUCUCGAAGCUUCUAGGGUUGCCAAUUCGAAUCUCCGAGCGUUAGAAAUUUUUGAUUCCGUCAACAUUACACUCGAUUCUGGUCCUCCUGAGCUUCCUGGUACUACCAAUGUGGUAAUCGAAGUUGUCGAGAGCAAAAGCCCUCUCACUGGCCAAAUCGGCGCCUACACUAGAGCAGAGGUAUUGCUUUAUAGUAACAAUUCACUGCUAUGUUUCAUUUGAGUUGGUUUAUUGGGUAUUGGUUUCUAUAGAGUUGAAUUUGUUAUCUUCAUGUAGCUGUUUUUUGCAUCUCCAUCAACAUAUACUAUGAUUCUCUUGUAGGCUAGAUCAUCGAGCGUUGAAGCAUCUUUGAAGUAUAAGAACAUUUUUGGUUAUGGUGAUAUAUGGGACGGGUCUGUAGUUUAUGGAUGUGACAACUCUGCUGAGGUUGGCUUGGGGAUGUAUUUACCAAGGUUUAGAGGACUUUCUACUCCUUUUACUUCCCGUCUUUUCCUUUCGACUCAAGACUGGCUUAAGUUUUCAUCGUAUAAAGAACGAUCCCUAGGUCUUUCUCUCGGUCUUCUCUCAAGCAAGUAUCACGAGCUGGUCUACACGAUUGCUUGGCGUAAUCUGAUAGAUCCAUCACAAGCCGCUUCAAAAUCAAUAAGGAGGCAACUGGGACACAGUCUGCUUUCUGCAUUGAAGUAUACUUUUAAAUUUGAUCAGAGAAACUCAAACUUGAGGCCAACUAAUGGAUAUGCUUUCAUCUCUACUUCUCAAAUUGGUGGUCUUGCUCCUGAUAGCCGAAGCCUACGCUUCUUGAAGCAGGUUGGUCUUCUCUUCUUUCUUGUUGCCAACAUUUACAUGAACUUUAUUUAAGUUUGGAAAGUUCUAAUUUCUUACACAGCAAAUUCUAUGGUACCAAUCCCUUGUUUUCAUACAUACCUUAUGUCUGAAAUUUAUUCUCACUGUGAGAGGAAAUAACAAGAAUCUUAGACCUCUGAUACUUUUAGCACCCAUUGUCAUUUGUUUUCUCAGGAAAUUGAUCUUCGAUAUGCUGUUCCGUUCGGGUUUUACAAUGCUGCUCUAAACUUUGGCGUGUCUGGGGGUGUCACCUUUCCGUGGGGAAGCGGAUACCAGAACCGCCCUUCCUCUGUACCAGAGAGAUUCUUCUUGGGUGGCAAUUCAUCGCCUGUAUGCUCUUUGGGUGGACCAUCCGCACUAUGGGGAUUCAAGACCAGAGGACUUGGUCCCAACGAGCCAAAGAGGAAAGGUGAUAGUGAACGGGAUUUUGUUGGAGGAGAUGCUGCGGUGACUGCAUUUGCGGAUCUCUCAUUUGAUUUGCCAGUGAGAUGGUUAAGAGAGAGAGGAAUCCACGGGCAUGUGUUUGCUUGUGCGGGGAAUAUGGCAAAGUUAUCAGAGAAUGAGUUUAGAAACUUCACUGCUCCAAAGUUCUUGGAGACAUUCAGAACUUCAGUUGGUGCUGGAAUCGUCUUACCAACUAGUCUAUUCCGUAUGGAGGUUUGGUUCUCAUCACUACUCUCCCUUAUGCAUUUUUAUCGAAUGAAAGUGCAGUGAUUAACACCAAAAUUAUCCAUCGUUUUGUUUUGUUUUGAGACAGCUUAACUACUGCCACAUAUUGAAGAAACAAGAACACGAUCAAGCGAGAUCAGGGGUUUUCGUGACAUUCUCUGCCUCGUCCUGAGAAACUUUAGCUGAAGAAGGUACUCAAUAUGAUAUGGCCUUUCAUUUUGUUUUUUUUUUCUUAAAGCCGUGUCCCAAUGUGUGGCAGAAUCUUUGGCUGAAUCGAGAAAACUUUACAAAGAGAGUUGAUUCUUUUUGUCGUGUUUGCAUGGAUUUCUCAUUUCUGGAUUCACGAGGAAUAAAAAUUACAUUAAGGCUCUUAACUUUUUAGGAAAAAUUGAUGCUGAUGAACUCAUGACGCUGUCUAUCAUUACGAGGACUAGUGUUCUAGUAACAAGUCAUCUCUACUUGAAUUCUUUUUCUUGGUUAUCUGUUACUGUCUAUUUAUUGAGACUUGUUUUCUUUUGUAAUAUCUAUAUCCUCACCAGAUUUUUGUCUUCGCUAAGACGUUCGUAAUAGUAAUUAUUUAUUGGGUAUACCAUUUAAUUUGGUUGGCCAAACAAGACCAAAAUGUGUGAAAAUUUAUUAUUCAACACAGACUUUUACUCUCGCGUAGAAAGACUUGUUAUAUUUGUUGAUUUAUCUUUCUGGAGUAGAGUCUAUUAUUAUGUAUGUAUACAAAGAGAUGAUCAUGAAAUGUUUACCUACCAUCACCAUCACAUGUCUAGAGAAAUUGCAGCGAGACACAACCGAUCUUCCUGUGUGAGUUAUCUGUGCCAAUCUCAGAUUCGCUGGCAUGAUCGGAAAUUAGGGCUCUUGCACUUCUUUGUCAGUGAUAUGUGAUUCUUUUCAAAAAGGGGAAUAUUUAUACUCUUCUGCGGCAUGUGGUCAAAUGGGCCUGCGUUUUAUUUAUAUCCUCCUAUAUUGUUGGGCCUUAGCCCGAGUUUUUUCCGGAUUUUCGGGCAAUGAAUUCUUGACGCUGUCGAUCAUUUAUGAAAAUAACACAACAGCUAACAUCUUUGUCUAGCUAAUCUUAGGGACUGUAAAAGUCAUCUAAUUUGGUUGGAAAAAACAAAAAUUUGACGUUUCCCGUACGUAACUAAAGUAAAGACAAAAUGUGUGGAAAUUGACUAUUCAACGCAAAGACUUACGUGAAGAACACUUGGUAGAAAGACUCGUUAUAUAGUGCGACUGGGCAUGAAACCAUGUUAUUUACUACCAAAAUUUCCACUUUCUUUUCAUUAUCAAUAUUCAAGAGAAUUGGACUAGCGUAAAGAAAGAUGAAAGGCUUCUGUAACUCAACGAGUAUCACUCCUAUUACUCUUUCUUUUCUUUUCUUACUCAUUUGUAUUUUUCGAGAUGUGUUUGCGGUUCCUACUAGACACUUGUGUCGUCCCGAACAAAGGGAUGCACUUCUCGAGUUCAAGAACGAGUUUAAGAUUGGGAAGCCUAUUCUUCAAUGUACUGGCGUACAUCCAAAGACGGAGUCAUGGACCAAUACCAGCGAUUGUUGUAAUUGGGAGGGUAUCACGUGCAAUGCCAUCUCUGGGGUAGUGAUUGAGCUAGACCUUAGUUGCAGUUGCUUCCAUGGCAAGUUAGUUGCUUCCAUGGCAAGUUACAUACCAAUAGUAGUCUUCAAAACCUUCAUUCUCUAACCACUCUAGACCUUUCAUUUAAUGAUCUGAAUGGUCAAAUCCCGUCUUCGAUUGGAAACCUUUCUCAUCUAACCUCUCUCCAUCUUUCUAGUAACAGUUUGGUAGGUGAAAUCCCAUCUUCUUUUAGCAAACUAAACCAUUUGGCCAGCUUAGAUAUUUCUUCCAACAAGCUCAGUGGAAACUUCCCCAUUGCCCUACUGAAUUUGAUAGGGUUGUCAGAUUUAUCACUCUCCAACAAUCAGUUCACAGGCACGCUUCCUCCUAACAUCACUUCACUAUCUAACUUAAAAUUCUUUCACGCCAGUGGAAACUCUUUCGUUGGAACUAUCCCUUCUUCUCUCUUCACUAUUCCUUCUUUAGCUUAUGUUGACGUAAAAGAUAACCAACUUAACGGCACUCUUGAGUUUGGGUAUAUAUCUUCACCAUCUAACCUACAAUGGUUAUACAUUGGCAACAACAACUUCGAAGGCAUGGUUCCUCCUAACAUCACUUCACUCUCCAAGUUGGCGGUUUUUGAUGCAAGUGACAACAAUUUUACUGGAAGCCUUCCUUCUUCUCUGUUCACAAUUCCUUCUUUGACUUAUAUUGAUUUGAGAGAUAACCAACUCAAAGGAACUUGAGAGUUUGGGAAUCUAUCUUCACCUUCUAACCUAGAAGUGUUAGCCAUUGGGAACAACGUAUUCAAAGGUCCAAUUCCGAGAUCCAUUUCCAAACUAGUCAACCUUAGGCUACUUGACCUUUCUCAUUUCAACACCCAAGGCCCAGUUGAUUUUAAUAUCUUCUCGCAUCUCAAGUCGCUCCAAGAUCUUGACAUAUCCCAUUUGAACACUACAACUACAAUGGACUUGGAAGAUAUCUUAUCAUAUUCCAAGAGACUUUGUUCAUUGAAUCUCUCAGGCAACCAUGUUUCAGCCACAAACAUAAGUUCUGUUCCACAAUUGAUAUAUUCUUUGCACUUGUCAGGCUGCGGUAUCACUGAGCUUCCAGAGCUCCUAAGAACCCAAAACGGAAUGGUGAUUAUAGACAUUUCCAACAACAAAAUCAAAGGUCAAGUGCCUGGCUGGUUAUGGACGCAACCAUUUUUGGAAUAUGUGAAUCUGUCCAACAACACUUUCGUCAGCUUCGAAAGACCAGCAAAAUAUGGGCUAUCCCCAUUUAUGCAGCAUAUUUUUGGCUCCAACAACAAUUUCAGUGGAAAGAUUCCUUCUUUCAUAUGCUCGUUACAUUCUCUAAGCAUUCUCGAUUUAUCUGACAACGACUUUAGUGGUUCAAUACCUCGUUGUUUGGUAAAUCUCAAGAUCAGUACUCUUUCAGUUCUAAACCUUCGCCAGAAUCGUCUUAGUGGAGGUCUUCCAAAGAAUAUAUUUGAAAGCCUAAGGUCGCUUGACGUCGGCCAUAACCAACUUGUGGGAGACCUUCCAAGAUCUUUGAGAUUUUUCUCUACUCUUGAAGUUUUGAACGUGGAAAGCAACAGAAUCAAUGACACAUUUCCGUUCUGGUUGAGUUCUCUGCCGGAGCUACAAGUUAUUGUCUUGCGCUCUAAUGCAUUCCAUGGACCUAUACAUGAAGCCUCGUUCCCUAAGUUGCGAAUCCAUCGACAUAUCGCAUAAUCACUUCAAUGGCACUUUGGCAACAGAGUACUUUGUAAGAUGGAUGGCUAUGUCAUCACUUGGGACAAACAAAGAUCGGUCUGACCAAAAGUACAUGGGAGAUGAAUCUGGCUAUUACCAUGAUUCAAUGGUUUUGAUGAAUAAAGGUAUAGAGUUGGAGAUGGUACGUAUCCUUCAAAUCUACACAGCAGUCGACUUUUCGGGAAACAAAUUUGAAGGAGAGAUUCCAAGGUCUAUCGGUCUAUUGAAAGAGCUUCAUGUGCUCAACUUGUCAAACAAUGCUUUCACUGGCCACAUCCCUUCAUCUAUGGGAAACCUGACAGCUCUCGAGUCGUUGGACGUUUCCCAAAACAAGCUUUCAGAAGAAAUCCCACAAGAGCUAGGGAACCUCUCGUUCCUUGCGUACAUGAACUUCUCUCAUAACCAGCUUGCAGGUCUAGUUCCAGGAGGCAAUCAGUUUCAAACGCAGCCGUGCUCUUCCUUUGAAGAUAACCUGGGACUUUUCGGCUCUUCUCUUGAAGAAGUUUGCAGAGAUAUUCAGACGCCAGCAUCGCAUCAACAGAAUGAAACGCCGGAAGCAGAGGAAGAAGAAGAAGAGGUGAUUAGUUGGAUAGCAGCUGCAAUAGGAUUCAUACCUGGUAUUGCCUUGGGUUUAACGAUUAGAUACAUAUUGCUUUCCUACAAACCAAAGUGGUUCAUGAACCCUUUUGGCCGAAACAUUCGUAGAAGCAGAAAUACCACAACUCACUAGAGAGGUAAUGUUCUGACUUCUAAACGGAUUUGUUAGCAAACAUUAGAAUCUUGUUACUAAAGCGUUUCAUUAUUUUUAUUUUGAAUAGGCUUUUAGAACCUAUCUGGGAGAACUCCAGGACGUCGACCAACCACUCUUUUAGUAACUAAUACUAUGUCCAAAUCCAGAUUGGUUUAGCUUUGUGUUUUUUUUGUUUCAAACCUAAAGUUACUCUCCCUUCAGACGGACAUGUAUAUUUGUUCGUUUCAAUUAAGACACAGAAAAACAGAGCAAUUAUAGAAUUUUGGAAUAUUUUGAUCAAAAAUCCAUUUACUAUAUUUUGAUAAAUUAAACCUUAUACAUGGAUAUAUUCGAAGUCAGUUGUGUGUUGUUCCUUAUUUUACACCAACCUCUUUUAUUCUCCAAAUUUUCAAGGAAUUUACAACAAGAAUGGACAAGUGUGUUUUGAUGAUGAGUUUUUAGGGUUUUGUUUUGGCUUAAGGAGAGGAAGCUCUGUGAACUACUAGAAAAGAUUAGGCAAGCCUCUGAUAUUAUUAUAAUCUAUAGUGGGAAAGGAAUGGAAAGCAUUACAUUUUAGUGUUAAUUUACGAAAUGACAAGAUAAGAAGAUUUGUUAAGUUGCUAUUAGCAAUUUCUUAAAAUUGUUACUAGUUUUGUACAUGUGUACUAAGGUUAAGAGAUUACAAGAUUCUUUGGAUUUGUAGUUAAGUUGUUAUUAUCAUUUUGUGUACUCAUUCACAAAGGUUAAAAGAUUACAAAAUUCUUUGGAUUUGUAGUUAAGUUUUAAUUGUCAUUUUGUGUACUCAUCAUUAUAAGGAUGAAAAGAUUUUAAGAUCCUUAACAUUUUUGAAUGUUUGAUUUAAGAAAAGAACUUUAAGUUUUGCGUUGAUUUUUUCUUGUUUAUUGGUAUAUUCGCAACCAUAAUGAAUGAUGAGUAGAAGAGGAAGCCAAAGAAAGAAGAGAAAAAUGGAUAGUGAAGGGGACGGUGGCGGUGGUGGUGGGCUUCUCAUUCUCUCACUUUUCUUGUCAAAUGUCUUGUCUUCUCCAUUUCCACACUCCAAUUUUAUAUGCUACCUGUGAUUUUAUUUAUUUAUUUAUUAUUCGACUUCUUUUACUUCCCUCAAAAGUAUGCAUUAUCUACAAUAAGAACCAAAGAUGCUAUAAGCUCAAAAUUCUAUUUUGUUUUAAGCAUCAUCACCCACUUUGUAAGAAAAUUCCACUUGGAUUUGGAGCAAUGUGAAACCUAUUUUGUAUUUUCCUUGAUUGACUUGUUUCAUCUAAUCCAAAGUCUUGCUUCUCCUUUUUUUUUUUUUUUUUUAUAAUGUCCACAAUCUCAAAAGAGAAAAUUAGCUUAUUAGUUACUUUUACUCUCUCUAUCUCUAUAGUACGUUAUCCUUUGGUUUUUUCAACAUUAUACUCAAAGCUCAUUACCAAAAUCUCAAAGAUAAACCAGUAUAUGAUUAUGAUUUAUGGCCUCGAACUCACGACCAAUCAUGUAAUUAGCAAGAAAAAGCUCAAGCCAACACAAAUGAUGAAUAGGCCCAUGCCUUGUCCCAUUUGUUCCCUUCUCUCUAUUACUUUCAAAAACACUCUUCUUCACAAAAAGUUAAAAGAGUCUUAUUAAUAUAUAAAGGAAGCACGAGAUAAAACUUAGAAAAACGAGAGCCUAACAUUUACCACCAAAAAAUCAAAACAAUCAAAAAAAGUUUGAGAUGAGAGGGCAUGAGCCACGAUCAAGCUCAUCUUGUGCAGCCUGCAAGCUCUUGAAGAGACGAUGCACACCCACUUGCAUUUUCGCUCCUUAUUUCCGCUCAAGUGACUUGAUAACUUUCGCCAAAGUCCAUAAAGUCUUUGGAGCCAGCAACGUCAGUAAGCUUCUCGGUGAGGUCCCUGAAGAACAGAGACAAGAAACCGUUAACUCCUUGGCUUAUGAAGCUGAGGUUCGUCUCAAGGAUCCUGUUUACGGUUGCAUUGGAGCCAUAGCGUCUCUGCAGAAGAAGAUGCUCGAGCUUCAACAUGAUCUAGCCGUUGCUCGCACUCGACUACUUGCCCAUUCUGGGGUCACCAACCAAGUGUCCCCUUUGGAUGAUUCUCCUGAGCUUGCUGCUUUUCUUGAUCUUGUACCUUACAGUGACUUGAUGUUGCUUGAUGGGUCUAGUCUUGAUGCUUACUUGUAUGAUCUUGGACAGCCUCCUUUUGUAUAGGCCUUAUCUCUCUAUCAUAUAUCUGUUUAUCAGCUGUAUUUGCAAUUUGCUUUACAAGUUAUCUUCGACAAUCUAAAGUCUGUCCCUAAUGUAUGAAUUCCACAAUAUGCAAAAUCAGAGGCUUACUUCAUCAUUUGUACGAAAAAGGGUUUAACUUCAAAAGUAACCAUCACAUGCGAUAAGAUAACUCAGGUACAUGUAUGAGCCUUGGAAGGUCAGAGUCCUUACCAAUAUUGUACCAAGUGGUAGGCCAAGGCAAGCAAAGUGAGGUUUUUUAGAUGAAGAGCUUCUUUGUGAGUCAGGUCUGAAUAGGAGAGCACAUGCUUAUGUCAGCCCCAAAUUCUACCAAACAUGAAACAUUGAUAGAUAUGCUUCUGUGAUGUUCUUUUUUGAGGCUCCAAUAAUACAGCCUCAUGUGUCAACUCGUCUCCCUCAGGCCACAAGAGUCUUGUCCUGGAGAUUCCAGAGUGCUGCAAAGUCACAUAAGCAAACAUCCAAAUCAAUAGCUUGGCGGGUUUGAUCAAACUCCAAACUGAAUUAUGAAUGACUGUGAUAAGAGUUCUCCACAGAUGGGCUCUACGCAUCUUGUUAAGUCUGUAGGCAUUCCUGAAACCUGAUUAAGCAAAAGACUAAUUGCAUAUCACAAAAUGAGAUAUGAGCGCUCUUUGGAACUGCAGGCAGUGAUACACAAACCAUCAUACAUUGAUACUUCACAAAAGUACAUCUUGAUAUGUCAGAUACUAUGAGAGUUCUUUCGGUAAUCCGUAUUGCUACUACCAAUGUACUCUACAAUGCUAAAGAAGAAAAAUGAAAAAGAAGAAGAAAAAGCAUCGCUAUAACUUAAGAAAACCUAAAGAUUAAUAAUAAUAACAUCUUCUCCAAUUCGUAUGAGCUUUAAAUCCAACCAUUGCUCCUUGCUUUAUCACAGUAACUCCUCCACAAUCUAUAAUCCUACAACUUCUUACCUGUACAACAACAAAGCACAACUGAAGUUUCAGUAAACUCAUCAAUCACACAAUGAAUAAAGAGUAUAAUGCCCCCAAAGUUUCAUCUCAAGAUAAAAAUGAAAACUUGACCUGAAGCAGCUCUUCGUUUCCCAAGUUUAGAUUUCUCAAGCUCCAAUUGCAUCUCCAUCAACAUAUUCAUUCGUUGUAACUCAAGCUCCUUUGCAACUUCCAUUCUCUGCUUCUCCAAUUCAAUCAUCAUCUGUUGCUUCUUACCCUCGAUUCUUUCAAACGCUUCCCCUAACUUCAGAAUCGACCUCGCUAAUUCCCUAAAGGCUGAUCCUUCACUCGGAUCUACAUCUUCAACUUUACGAUGCUUCCUCACCACAAAUCCCCAAUCACCCGCAUCAUCAUCAUCUUCUUCGUCAUCAUCAUCAUCAUCAUCAUCGUCGUCAAGAGAGCUUCCAGUUGAUUUAGAUCCAGUAGGAUUCAAAUUAGGGUUCAUAAAAGCCGAUUUAACAACGCCACCGGACGAUUUCUUCAUAACCGGACCGAUUAAGAAAUCGAGUCUAUCAAAGAAGCACCAAUUCGAUAAAGGUUUCGCCUUUUCAGUUUUGUACUUCUUCUUCAACGUAUCGAUCCGGUUUUUGCACUGCACGUCGGUCUUUGGCCGGCCAUUCCCGUGGCUAGAAUUAACGGCGUCGGCGACUUCUUUCCAAUCGUUUUGCCGGAGAUUCCCACGGUUGAGAUUGACGUAACGAUCUCCCCAAGCUUCGAUCAAUGUCGCCGUCGCGUCUUCGCUCCACCAAUCCUCUCUUCCCGCCGGUAGACGGUUAGACCCGCUCUGGUGAGUCUUGGACUGAGUCUCCGGCGUCGUCUCCAUCUCGGAGGGGGGAGGAGAGGAGGCUAACGUGCGCGGUGGAGAAUGAGGCUUAGGAUAAGAAUUUCUGUUGGAUCGGAUUUUUGGUAAAGUUAAAGAGAAAUUACGGUUAAAGGAGAGAUUUUGAUUACCGGCGGUGACGUCAGCAACGGCGAUUAUCUUCUUUCUCCUACCUCUGCUAACCGAUUCAAUCACUCAUACCUGAAACCGGUUUUCAAUAACCGGUUUAGUCAUAAAUUUGAGUCCUACUUACUAGUAUGGUCGAUGUCAAGCUUCUUUUAAUGCGUUUCUAUGGGUAAUGAUGAUAGAUUACAUUAUUAAACUUAUAGUGAUUGAUAAUAACGUUUAAGCGAUUUGGAUUAAUGAUUAGGGCUAGAAUCUCAUCAGCUCAUGUCAUUAUAGGAAAUCUUAAACGUAUAUUUUGUGUAUUCUAGGAAAGAAUACAAAAGAUGAGGUCGUAUUAGUUUUGGUAUAGUAGUUUUUAAUGUCAUAAUUGGAAAGAAAUGUUAUAGAAUAAUAAGAAAAUUUAUGUUUUUUUUAACGUAUUCAUCAUUCAUGUAACGCUGUGAGUAAGUGGAGUUUGGAAGUGAAAAAUGGUGGUAUGUAAUUAAGGAAAUAGGCGAGUAGGCAAAUUGUUAGGUGAGAGAGAACAUCCCAAACGUGUUAGGUCGUAGACUAUAAUAUUGUAUGUUUCGUGCCUUGUCUAAUUGUCCUUUUGCUGUCUCACCAAUUGAUGAUAUCUGUUAAGUCCAUGCCUAACUACUAAUGUUUUUGUAACUACGAAAAUCUCGCUGAAAUGUUUGGAAAAAAUCUGAGGUUUUUUUUUUGUCAAUCAAAGUGUACGAUGGUCUCGAAUCUCGAUGAAGUGCUAAUAGAAGAAAACCAUUGUAUAUUUCAUUUCAAAAUUUCUUAUGAUAACGCAAAAUGUGAAAGAUAAAUCAUGAUUUACAGGUUAUCAAAGUGAUGUGAGUUGAAACGUUUAAAACACUAUCUAGUUUAACAAUGGCUGCAAUGUAAUAUGGUUUUUACGAUAAAUGCAUGCAACCAUCCGUAAUAUACAUAUAUAUAUAUAUAUAUAUAUAUAUAUGUAUGAGUCGUGGAAGAACCAAAUCAUAUUCACCACUACAGCACGUCGUAGCUAGUAUAGAAUAAAGAGCUCAAAGAAAAAGGAACGUUAUAUAUAUGAUCAGAUUUCAUGCUUAUGUUCUACAUAUUAUGGUUUUUCUAUCGACUGGCUUCCAUGUUUUUUUGCUAAGAGGGCUUCCAUGUUAAUGCUUUUGUAUGCAUUAUAUUCGAUCUAUUUUUACUCUUAGAUCACGUUACAUUUAUAUCAUAUAUAUCACAUCCUGCUGCCAAGUAAUCGAGUUAAUUGUGGUCGAGUAUAUACGUCGUGAAGCAAUUUACAAAUAACAAAACGUAGCCAAUUUUGUUUUUAAGCAUAAUUUAGUACUCCCUCUGUUCCUGAAAAUUUGAUGUUUUGGUUUUUCUCCUUGUUCAUGAAAGUUUGAUUUUGUACAAUUUAUUUAAUGUAUUUAUUUUAUUUAAAUUAAUUAAUGAUAAAAAGUGGAGUUGAGUGUGUUUUUGGAUGUGUACGUAACUCCUACUUUGCAUGUGUUAGUAACACAACACACGUUAUCUGACAUUUCAAUAAUGAGAUGUUUUAAUUAAAUAAUACAGAAUUUUUUUUUUUAAUUUAUGUGCAAAUCUUAAAACAUCAAAUUUUCAGGAACAGAGGGAGUAGUUAACAAUGCUAUUUUUAAUAUCUUUUGUUAUGUUGCUACCAUAUCUGGAUAUUGAGAAACAUACAAACGUGCAUGUUGCCUAAUAUAGUCUUUAAUAUUGUUCCGAAAUUAAUUAAGAAAAAUACAAACAAUCUUACUUGUGGAAGCUGUUUAACUCAAAUAAAUAUUCUCUUUCUGUUAUUUUUAUUAAAAUUAUCAACACAUACAAUCACGUGACUGACAUUAACUGUAUUAUACUAUAUAUAUUACACCGUGUUCACAAUCAACGGCCAGAAUUAAGAAACAACCGAUCGCAAACCGGAACAUGACGUCAUCUUCACCGUCUCCACAAGCCUCGAUGAUUUUGUACUGGCAUGAGAACCAAUACGACGACCGCAACUUCCAGAUUCAUGGCCGGACACUCUUCUUCGCCAUGGCUCUAUUUUCCGUUGUCAUCUUCUUCGCACUACUCACUCUCUACAUCCACCGGAACUGCCUCUCCCGGAAUUCUCUUAAUCUCCACGCACCCUCUUCUGAUCAACACACACGUUGUGCUGGCGGAGG